GGUUUAUUAGCUCAGUGGGUUAGAGCAUGGUGCAUACAGCACCAAGGUUGUGUGUUCAAUCCCUGUAUUGGCCA
rnacentral:tRNA from 1 species